rnacentral:rRNA from 1 species
AGCUCCAAUAGCGUAUAUUAAAAUUGUUGCAGUUAAAAAGCUCGUAGUUGGAUUUCUGGUUCGGCGCACUUGGCCCGUCUCGGUUUACGGGACUGCGUGCCGGUGUGCGCCAUCCAUCCUUCGAGUGAACGCUUCUACCCUUCACUGGGUCGGGAGUGCUGAUCUCGAUCUUUUACUUUGAAAAAAUUAGAGUGUUUAAAGCAGGCUUGCGCUAUGAAUACAUUAGCAUGGAAUAAUAAUUUAGGACUUUGGUCUUAUUUUGUUGGUUUCUAGGACUGAAGUAAUGAUUGAUAGGGACAGUUGGGGGUGCUAGUAUUCAGCGGCCAGAGGUGAAAUUCUUGGAUUCGCUGAAGACUAACUUAUGCGAAAGCAUUCACCAAGGAUGUCUUCU